UUAAACUUAUAGUUUACAUUUACUAUUCAGCUUGCUUAGUUUAACCCUAGCUUCCUAGGAUUAAUUAAAAUACCUAAUUCUUUUAGUUUAUCUUUCUUGCACAAAUUACUAUGCUAGCUGCUAUUCCUGGUUCAUGCGAAGUUAAUUGAAGGAGUGGUCCAAAAUCUCCUCCGCAACCAAAGGAAUUAAGUCUUAGGAUGGGUUUGGAUUGCACUAAAAAGGAAAAAAAUGCUCCGUUUGUGUUUUUUUUGUGGGUCCCAUGCACUGUUCAUGGGAUUCGCAAGUACGGAUUUCAACAAAUUUUUCUUUAAAAUUAGGUCCCACGGUACUGUUCACACAUUUAAAAAUUAUUUUGCUACAAUGUUUUUAGUUUUCAAUAAUAAGUGGUUUCUAAACGGACUCUUAAACUUUCUAUGAAAAUGUGAAAACUAGUAUCCAUUUUACUAUAAAAACUCAUCUAGGUCCGAAUGUGAUUUGUACCACUACCACAUCAAAAACAUAAUCAAAAAAUUUCAUAAUUAUUUAUUGUGUAUAUACAUAUUGACACAUCAAUUUAAAUGGUAAAAUUUAUAGCAUUCAUAACAUCGAUUAAAAAAUAACUUUGAAAGUUGUAAAGCUUGAAUUUCCCUUCUAUAUAUAUAUUUCAUUCUUGAGUUCAAAGUUGCACCCUCUCUCUCCUUUGUUCGGGUAAAACGCCUAUGUUUUGGGGAUUCUAAGUCACUUAGAAGUGAUUAAAGGGCACAAGUGAGGCCACCACCAUGCAUUCCCUACAGUUUUCUUCUUCAUAAGUCUUAUAAAUACCAGUUUGUUCUCUUGGACAGCCUCUUCUGUCUCUUACAAAACCUUGUCUUAAAUAAUUGUUUCUUUUGGUAGCAACAUUCUGCACUUACUGCACUACUCCCUUGUAUAUACACAACAUAAACAUAUACAGUAAUCACUUCUCUUUUCAACUUUAUAACUGUUGAAAGAGCUCUCCUCGAUCAUGUCUAUCAUAUCUUCUUUUUUUAUCCUCCUCUUGUUCCUUUCCAUGCAUGAAUAUUGCAAUGCUCGUGGCCUUGGAGUAAUUGAUAAAGCUUCCAGCUUACAAUUCAUUGUUUCUGAAAAGGUAGAAGAGAAGGUUAAGCAUAACAUGGAAACAAUUCAAGGAGGAACAGAUGGAAACAACAUUGAUGACAAGUCUCAAGGUGGUGCAACUACACAAAUUCCAGGUCUAGUCCCAAUCAAGCCUUUUGUUUCAGUUUCUAGGCGCAUGCCCCACAAGAACCACGAUGAACAUCCCGGCUUUAACUCGGACUAUUCUCGGCCUAGAACUCGCCCUCCCUCCCAUAACUGAAGUCGUUCACUCUUGCUUUACUAUUAAUCACUCAUUAACUUCCUCUUUUGAAUUGCUUAGCGGCUUUCUUUCAUUUUCUAUCAUACCUUAAAUCCUUAAGCCGUCACAACCACAUAGAUAGAGCCUUAGAAUGAUGUGAGAAUUCUAAGUCAUCUUGUCACAUGGGCUUGCUAAGGGAAACACGUAUUAAUAAGGGAUCAAGAAGGCGAGCAUUAUCAAUAAUAGGAUCUAAAGUCAAAGAAGAUAUCGUUUUCAAUGGUAACAAAGUACAAGCUGUAGAAGUGACAGACUAUGAACCACCACAUCAGACACCACCGAUUCACAAUUAAUAUAGAAAUCUAGCAAAUUUUGCUACUUGUGCUACGGUUUCUAUGAUCAUAUUAUAUACAUUUUCUUUCACCAUCUAUAAGAAAAUAACAGCUAAGAGAUCAUUUGUGUAUACUAUAAAUGGAAGUAGAAACAUAAGAAAUGGAGAAUUAGUGGCUUAGAUUGCUACUAGUUAAAAAAAGUGGUAGUUGGUGUAUUGUUACAU